GUCCUCUCUUCGGCAGGACAUAUACUAAAAUUGGAACGAUAUAGAGAAGAUUAGCAUGGCCCCUGUGCAAGGAUGAAAUGCAAAUUCGUGAAGCGUUCCAUAUUUUU